rnacentral:lncRNA from 1 species
UAUGGUAGCUUUUGCCUACACCAAGGGAUUAUUGUGUUCGAGCAUCAGCUUUCCUGAAAACUCAUUAUUUUUGUUUGUAUGUGAAUUAGAGUCAGGAUCAACGUCCUGUUGUCUGUGCGUGACUAGGGAACAUUUCCUUAAUCUGCAGUUUCUUUAGAAAUUGAUUUACUUGUUCUCUAGUAUUUACUUAAUUGGAUUUAUUUAUAAGAGUUAAUAAUAUGUGACUUCUUGAAGUAUUUCAUGAGAGAUGAUUCCGAAAUAUUGGUUAGCUUUUUCUGGCUAUUCCCAUAAAUUUGUUGUAGCUAUAGCUAUAGUUAGAGAAUCCCAGAGUAAGCUAACUUCUGUUAUGUCCACCAUUUAAUUAGGUAGACCUCCCGUUGCAUCUGAUACAAAUCUGAUGAUCAGUUGAGUGAGGGUCAUAUUACCCAAUAUGUAAUCAUUAUUAGCACAUUGAGUGUUAGGUUGUAGCGUUGCUAAUUAAAUCUGCCUGAUUGUUCCACCUUGGAUAUGCUUCCAUAUAAAUCUAUUGUCCACAGUCGGAUCAAUUUAGGAUAAAAGGCUUGCUACAAUAAUUUCUUUUCUUGUCCAUACAUAACUCUUAUAUUUAUUUUGGUUUAUACUAUGGUCUAUGUUUUAGCUUUUUGGAACUGGCUACGAGAUUUCUACUGAUUGUUCACUUUGGACAUGCUCUAUUUAAAUCUGUUGUCCAUCGAUAGAACAAUUUUGUACUACUCGUCCCACUUGACUUUUUUGAGAAUAGAAUUUUUCUAAAUUAUGGAAUUUAGUAAAGGGUUAUAAUAAACCUUAAGUAUGUAUGUUGGUACCAUAUGAGAUAUAUCGGGCAUUAAGACAACUCCAUUUACAUGACUCAUAAUUUGCGGUUAGGUAUGAUCGAUCGAGUCAGCUGUAAGUGUAAGUUAGUCGUCGUAUAGGUUAUAUUGAGUUUUCUAUUCGAAUAUUGUUGUUAUGGUGUUCUUGUUGACUAUAAUUUGGGGUUUUAUAGAAAUCUACUGAAUCAACUUGAACACAACUUGGUCUUUAGGAUAUAUAUCAGAGUUUGGACGAUGUCCUACGGUAGGUUAGUUUAGAGUAGUGAAGUAUUCGUAGGUUCGUAUUAUAUUUUAGAAAUUUGGUUUGGUCACGCCUGUGUUGGAUCCCACAGCGUGUGAUUUUUUCUCUGUGGAUACUUGUAUGGAGUAUCUAUAUGAGUAUAUAUAUGUAUAUGCAUAAUAAAAAAAAAGAUUGAUCAUAGGAUCAAUUUUUUUUUCUUACAAGUAAUGGGGGAAUGUAACGAUGAGUUACUACUAUCGUUACUAAAAUGUUAUUCCGAUGGGAACUAGGUAUGCAACCAACUUUACAAGCACUCGUAUUAGAGGUUGCAGUUGAUAGACGAUAAAGUUGGUAAUAUCUGGUAGAUUAGAGUCUAGCAGUUGGCAAUGACGAUAUCCGGCAGGGGUGUAUGUCAUAUCGGCCAUAGCGGCUGGCACUUCACUUGAAUUUUCGUUCUUGUCCGAUCAAGAAGUCCUCCGGUGACCAUUGUAAGAAUUUACCUUUUGGUUGAAAUAAGUUAUAAGAAGAUUAAUUUACGUUGGAGGAAGUUUUUAUUUUUUUGUUUGGGGUUGUGAAGAGUUUUUGGUUCCAAUAUUUUUUGAAGAAAACAAUGGCCACUGGAGGGAGACUAUAACAAAAUUUAAGUCACAUUUGGAUGCUUCAUUUAUUUAUGGAAUAAACAAUCAUUUUGGUAUUAUUUUGGGUUUGGAUUGGAAGAGUUUUGGAUGUUUUUUUUUCUCGUUUCUGGAAUAGACACUAAGUUCUAUCGACACUAGCAAGUACCUCCUCGUCAAUACUCUGUGUUGCUGUUCCUUACCUCCCGAGGAUUGGGAAGAUCGGAGGAUACGUACCUGGCUCUCUCAUCAUCAACCUCACCAGGAUUUUGGAGAAGCCACAGGCCUACUUUUGUAGAAACGCCAGGUUUUUAUAAUAAAAUUUGAAUUUUCAAUCCUUUUAAAUAAUAGUUUUCAAUUUUCAAUUUUUUUCAAUAACUCAAAUACAUAACCUUAAUAAUAAUAUAAAUUCACCUUCUUAAACCCUAUUAUCUUUAUAAUAUUCAAUAAUUUUUUUUUGUCAACGAAUUUUAUAUUUCAUUUUCAUGAUUGUAUCAGGUAUUUAAAAUAAUCUCAGGAUUGUAAACUAUCUGGGACGAUACUGUGCACACUAUCGAAGGGUUUAUUUCCUACUCAAUAAUAUUUAUUCCAUUCACCAGAUAUUGUCAGGUUGUCACUUCCGAUCAGAUACGGGAUUGUCAGCCAAUCUUGUAUUCUACAGUAAUAAUUAGUUUGUACAUGCAUAUUUAGAUCAAAUCACUUCCUUAGUAGAAUAAAUUCAUUACAUAUAUUAGUUUUUUCAUACUGUAAAACCUGCAUUAUCGACAGGAGUGUACUACCAUAGUACGUCGGAUAUUUAGCUAGUGUAUAAAAUUGUAUAUAGGGUUUAUAGGUAUUUUUUUUUAUUAAAUGUGGUUGUACAUA